CCUACGGGAGGCAGCAGUGGGGAAUAUUGCACAAUGGGGGAAACGCUGAUGCAGCGACGCCGCGUGAGUGAAGAAGUAAUUCGUUAUGUAAAGCUCUAUCAGCAGGGAAGAAAAUGACGGUACCUGACUAAGAAGCCCCGGCUAACUACGUGCCAGCAGCCGCGGUAAUACGUAGGGGGCGAGCGUUAUCCGGAUUUACGGGGUGUAAAGGGAGCGUAGACGGCGUGCCAAGUCUGAUGUGAAAGGCCGGGGCUCAACCCCGGGACUGCAUUGGAAACUGGCAUGCUGGAGUGCAGGUGGGGCAAGCGGAAUGCCUAGUGUAGCGGUGAAAUGCGUAGAUAUUAGGAAGAACACCGGUGGCGAAGGCGGCUUGCUGGACGGUAACUGACGUUGAGGCUCGAAAGCGUGGGGAGCAAACAGGAUUAGAUACCCUAGUAGUC
rnacentral:rRNA from 1 species